rnacentral:snRNA from 1 species
GUCCUCACUACAGCAGUUCAAAUUAUAAAUUUAGAAGGAUGCAGAAAAAAUUAAUGAGGCCCUGUGCAAGGAUGAUGCACAUAUUUUUGAGACUCCUCACUAUUUG